AAAGUAUGGGUAGCAAACAGGAUUAGAUACCCUGGUAGUCCAUACCGUAAACGAUGAAUGCUAAGUGUUGGAGGGUUUCCGCCCUUCAGUGCUGCAGCUAACGCAUNCGUGAGUGAAGAAGGGUUUCGGCUCGUAAAACUCUGUUGUUAAAGAAGAACAUAUCUGAGAGUAACUGUUCAGGUAUUGACGGUAUUUAACCAGAAAGCCACGGCUAACUACGUGCCAGCAGCCGCGGUAAUACGUAGGUGGCAAGCGUUGUCCGGAUUUAUUGGGCGUAAAGCGAGCGCAGGCGGUUUUUUAAGUCUGAUGUGAAAGCCUUCGGCUCAACCGAAGAAGUGCAUCGGAAACUGGAAAACUUGAGUGCAGAAGAGGACAGUGGAACUCCAUGUGUAGCGGUGAAAUGCGUAGAUAUAUGGAAGAACACCAGUGGCGAAGGCGGCUGUCUGGUCUGUAACUGACGCUGAGGCUCGAAAGUAUGGGUAGCAAACAGGAUUAGAUACCCUGGUAGUCCAUACCGUAAACGAUGAAUGCUAAGUGUUGGAGGGUUUCCGCCCUUCAGUGCUGCAGCUAACGCAUUAAGCAUUCCGCCUGGGGAGUACGGCCGCAAGGCUGAAACUCAAAGGANUCAACCGAAGAAGUGCAUCGGAAACUGGGAAACUUGAGUGCAGAAGAGGACAGUGGAACUCCAUGUGUAGCGGUGAAAUGCGUAGAUAUAUGGAAGAACACCAGUGGCGAAGGCGGCUGUCUGGUCUGUAACUGACGCUGAGGCUCGAAAGUAUGGGUAGCAAACAGGAUUAGAUACCCUGGUAGUCCAUACCGUAAACGAUGAAUGCUAAGUGUUGGAGGGUUUCCGCCCUUCAGUGCUGCAGCUAACGCAUUAAGCAUUCCGCCUGGGGAGUACGGCCGCAAGGCUGAAACUCAAAGGAAUUGACGGGGGCCCGCACAAGCGGUGGAGCAUGUGGUUUAAUUCGAAGCUACGCGAAGAACCUUACCAGGUCUUGACAUACUAUGCAAAUCUAAGAGAUUAGACGUUCCCUUCGGGGACAUGGAUACAGGUGGUGCAUGGUUGUCGUCAGCUCGUGUCGUGAGAUGUUGGGUUAAGUCCCGCAACGAGCGCAACCCUUAUUAUCAGUUGCCAGCAUUAAGUUGGGCACUCUGGUGAGACUGCCGGUGACAAACCGGAGGAAGGUGGGGAUGACGUCAAAUCAUCAUGCCCCUUAUGACCUGGGCUACACACGUGCUACAAUGGAUGGUACAACGAGUUGCGAACUCGCGAGAGUAAGCUAAUCUCUUAAAGCCAUUCUCAGUUCGGAUUGUAGGCUGCAACUCGCCUACAUGAAGUCGGAAUCGCUAGUAAUCGCGGAUCAGCAUGCCGCGGUGAAUACGUUCCCGGGCCUUGUACACACCGCCCGUCACACCAUGAGAGUUUGUAACACCCAAAGUCGGUGGGGUAACCUUUUAGGAACCAGCCGCCUAAGGUGGGACAGAUGAUUAGGGUGAANG
rnacentral:rRNA from 1 species